GACGAACGCUGGCGGCGUGCUUAACACAUGCAAGUCGAACGGUGAAGCGCCUUCCUUUUUGGUGGGUGUGGAUGAGUGGCGAACGGGUGAGUAACACGUGAGUAACCUGCCCCCUUCUUCUGGAUAACCGCAUGAAAGUGUGGCUAAUACGGGAUAUUCUGGGUCUGUCGCAUGAUGGGUCUGGGAAAGAUAUUGUUUCGGUGGGGGAUGGGCUCGCGGCCUAUCAGCUUGUUGGUGGGGUGAUGGUCUACCAAGGCGGUGACGGGUAGCCGGCCUGAGAGGGUGGACGGUCACACUGGGACGGAGACACGGCCCAGACUCCUACGGGAGGCAGCAGUGGGGAAUAUUGCACAAUGGGCGCAAGCCUGAUGCAGCGACGCCGCGUGAGGGAUGGAGGCCUGCGGGUUGUGAACCUCUUUCGCCAGUGAAGCAGGCCUGCCUCGUUUGUGGGUGGGUUGACGGUAGCUGGAUAAGAAGCGCCGGCUAACUACGUG
rnacentral:rRNA from 1 species